CCGGAAUUGCUAGUAAUCGCGGAUCAGCAUGCCGCGGUGAAUACGUUCCCGGGGCUUGUACACACCGCCCGUCACACCAUGAGAGCCGGGGGGACCCGAAGUCAGUUGCCUAACCGCAAGGGGGGCGNUGCCGAAGGUAAAAACUGGUGAUUGGGGGUGAAGUCGUAACAAGGUAGC
rnacentral:rRNA from 1 species